UGCAGGCUUGUCAAAUUCAGUGCUUCCCCUACAGUGGACUGCACUGGCCAAAAUGGCUGCCAAAGUGAAACUGUAGUUCAUGGGCCCCACAUCCCUUUGUCAUGGUAGUUGGGGAUACAUUUGUGCUACAGACAUAA
ensembl:snoRNA